rnacentral:rRNA from 1 species
GACGAACGCUGGCGGCGUGCUUAACACAUGCAAGUCGAGCGGUAAGGCCCUUUCGGGGGUACACGAGCGGCGAACGGGUGAGUAACACGUGGGUGACCUGCCCUCAGCUCUGGGAUAAGCCUGGGAAACCGGGUCUAAUACUGGAUAUGACUCCACGACGCAUGUUGUGGGGUGGAAAGCCUUGUGCGGCUGAGGAUGGGCCCGCGGCCUAUCAGCUUGUUGGUGGGGUGAUGGCCUACCAAGGCGACGACGGGUAGCCGGCCUGAGAGGGCGACCGGCCACACUGGGACUGAGACACGGCCCAGACUCCUACGGGAGGCAGCAGUGGGGAAUCUUGCGCAAUGGGCGAAAGCCUGACGCAGCGACGCCGCGUGGGGAUGAAGGCCU